ACCAGCUUCUUGAUAUUGGUUGCAUAUUCUAGUUGUAAAUGCAACCAUAGACGGUCACAGACAUCAAACAGAUACUUCUGCCAACAGAGUCUGCACAGUUAACAGAUUGUUCUAUGCAAUGGCUCCAUACGUU